GAACGGGUGAGUAACACGUGGGUAACCUGCCCUGUACUCCGGGAUAAGCCUGGGAAACUAGGUCUAAUACCGGAUACGACCCCAUGGGGCAUCUUGUGGGGUGGAAAGUUCCGGCGGUAUGGGAUGGACCCGCGGCCUAUCAGCUUGUUGGUGGGGUGAUGGCCUACCAAGGCGACGACGGGUAGCCGGCCUGAGAGGGUGACCGGCCACACUGGGACUGAGACACGGCCCAGACUCCUACGGGAGGCAGCAGUGGGGAAUAUUGCACAAUGGGCGAAAGCCUGAUGCAGCGACGCCGCGUGAGGGAUGACGGCCUUCGGGUUGUAAACCUCUUUCAGCAGGGACGAAGCGUGAGUGACGGUACCUGCAGAAGAAGCACCGGCUAACUACGUGCCAGCAGCCGCGGUAAUACGUAGGGUGCGAGCGUUGUCCGGAAUUAUUGGGCGUAAAGAGCUCGUAGGCGGUUUGUUGCGUCGGCCGUGAAAACUUCACGCUUAACGUGGAGCCUGCGGUCGAUACGGGCAGACUUGAGUUCGGCAGGGGAGACUGGAAUUCCUGGUGUAGCGGUGAAAUGCGCAGAUAUCAGGAGGAACACCGGUGGCGAAGGCGGGUCUCUGGGCCGAUACUGACGCUGAGGAGCGAAA
rnacentral:rRNA from 1 species